UUCAGACACCAUCGCACAAGAACCUCAACAGACAGAACUAAAACCCCGCCGGCUUGAGUUACAGAAAUCAGCUUAAGGAAACAAACACAGCAUCUCACACUUUCUCUGUAAAUAUACAUGCAAAGCAUGGUAAUUUCGAAGCAUAAAUAAAUAAAAUUAUAAAGAGACUAAUAAGUUGUAAAUAAUUUGGAAAAAUGGUAGAAGUAGAUGCGGUGACCAAAAAGAAGAACAAAACAAAAGAAAGAAGAUGCAAAAGGAGGACUCAAAUGUUUCAGCUCUUGUUGCUUCCAUUAUAGCUUCCAAAAAGCGCAGCCUGUCAGGAAAACGUCGGAUGUGCCAGGGGAUGUGUUUUAGCCUUCCUACUCCAAAUGAUCCAUUCAAUGACAGGAAUGUUUGGCAAGUUGCGAGCCUGAAUUUCUUGUGUCCACACCUGAGAAACUUUUGGAGCUUGUUUCCCUGAAGGCUAUGGAUUUAUCAGGGUUCACCUUUCUGGUUGUUGAUGGAGUGGAAUCUCUUUAUAAAGGUGGUUGUCUUGAUGCUCUUAAAGCCAUUAGGCAAUCUAUUUCUGUUUGUCCCCGGCCUGUGGUUUUCAACAAUUUCCUUAGUUGUUCUUGCGUUCUGGCUUUACAGAAUCUUCUCCUGGGAACACUUUUAGAUUUUCUCUCAAUCUGUCUAUUCCCAGUCAAAGUGCAUGCGUUGUGCAAACAACAAAUGUGUGCACUUCUGACGAAAUAAGACUUAUA